UACGUAGGGGGCAAGCGUUGUUCGGAGUUACUGGGCGUAAAGGGUGUGUAGGCGGUUCCUUAAGUUUGCUGUGAAAUCUCCCGGCUUAACCGGGAGGGUGCGGUGAAUACUGAGGGACUAGAGUACGGGAGAGGAAAGUGGAAUUCCUGGUGUAGCGGUGAAAUGCGCAGAUAUCAGGAGGAACACCAAUGGCGAAGGCAGCUCGCUGGGACGGUACUGACGCUGAGACGCGAAAGCGUGGGGAGCAAACAGG
rnacentral:rRNA from 1 species